ACUCUGCCAGGUGCCUCACAUGAGCUGUCUCGUAUAAUCUUUUACAGUCCAGUGAGACAGGUGCUGCUAUCCUUAUCUUACAAAUUUUAAAAACUACCUAAAUGUUAAGGAAUUUGCCCAAAGUCUUACAACUAGUUAGCUGGGAUUACAGCUGGAUUCUGACCCAGCUUGCCCGUCUGCGCUGUCCUGACUCUCUGCACUCCCACCUAGAUGACGGAGAACUUGGAGGGGCACCAGGAGAAGCUGGAGGAGAAGCAGGCGGCUUGCCUGGAACAGAUACGGGAGAUGGAAAAGCAGCCAGAUCCCGCACAUCCUUGAAGUCCUAUCUUUAAAAGGCCCGAGAGCCCUCUCCUCCCCACAACUCCAUCUUUUCAUCCAAGGACUGUGUUGCACUCCUGACCCUCGGCUCCCUUUGGAGAGAUGGACAGAGCCCUUGCCUCCUGUGGAGGCCCCUGCCUUAGUGAGCCUCCGCCCUGCCUGUCCCACUGUGCUGGCUCCUGAAGGUAAGUCACAGGUGCUGCUUCUGCUGAGCUGGGGGGACGGGCCAGGCCAGCUGCAG
rnacentral:sRNA from 1 species